rfam:Desulfosporosinus meridiei DSM 13257, complete genome.
CCGUACUAGACGGGGAGGUAGCGGUUCCCUGUAACUUGCAGCCCGCUCUAGCAAGGUGGAAUUCCUGCGAAAGGGUCACGCUUGUGAAGCAGUCUUUGAUUGGCGGCGAUGAUAUUUUGGUCUUACGCAACAGAACACUCCGAACCGUGUCAGAUCUUGACGGAAGCAGCACUAAGGAGAACGUUUUGUGUGCCGUAGGGUUGCCUGAAUUGAGUCUGCUGAUCAAGGUAACGUUCGGAAGCGAUGAUUCAAUCAAAGGUGUACGG